CUGUUCCUCAGCGAUCAGGGUCACAUCGCAGAGAAUGCCAUCACUUCUUUGCUGAUUCAGGGCUGCGAGGACAGUGUCAUUGUGAGAUUCUGAGUGGCAGAGCCUCUGGCCCGUCAGCAUUUCUUGAAUCCUACAAAGGGGAGUAAUGAGGCCAUUUAUUCCUUUCGCCAGCUCAGCUUCCGGGCUCUCUUACCCACUGGACUUUGGGGAGGCCACCGCUAGUGCACGAGACCUUUGGACACUUCCUCAGAAACUGAUGGUGAUUUUCCUCCAGGCACAAUGACUGCCACGUACUUUCUUUCUGGCUGCCUCUCAGAGUUUAGACUGGGAAGCUCCCUCCUGCCUCGAUGAAUUUGCCAGCUCGACUCAUCCUUGGGAUCUCAGGCAUUCUCUUUUCCUGUGUUCGCACUGCACUUUUCCAUCAGAAUGGUUUUCACAAUGGUAUUUGCCUUGCUGGUGGUAUUGUUGUUUCUCUGAUAGAAUACCCAGUUUAUGAAGGAAUAAAUCAAAUUUUCUAUUAUUCAUAGCUGGUACUUUAGGUCAAGAUGAAUGUUUGUCUCAGCAAAUACUUAUUAAAUAAAUAAGUAUUCAAAAAACAUUAUCAGGAACUUCUGAAUCUUCCACUGAUGGCAUUAAAGGGUCAAUAUUCAGAGACAGCAUAGUUUUCUACAAAUUUUUACCAUGUACCUUUAUAGUGAUUUGCCUUUUGCUCAAAGGGUUAUCAUUUCAAAUAAGAAA